ensembl:lncRNA
AAUCGCUGUAUGUGUGACAAUGUUUGUGCAAAGUUUCGCUGAGAUUGGCUAACUCCUUAAGGAGGAGAAAUUUGUGUAUUUACUUACAGGUUCCUACAGAAGUGAAUAAGGUAAUUUCACAAGUGCAAAUAUAAUUAAUUAAGCAAAAGCUUCUUUUUUUUCCCAUGCCAAUGCAGUUACAUUACUGUGCAUAGAGAAAUGCAGGAGGAAAAAGCCAUGGCUCACAUCUGCUAUCUUUGCUUAUAUCACAGUAGACAAGCUCAAAUUCACACGAGAGAUGCACCAAGCCUGUGUUCAUUCAACCAUCACUUUUACUUUCUGUAUCUAUCCCCCCAACCCCCCUCCUGGCUAUCAAUUGAAAAAGAGACAAAAUCAAGGUCAUGCAACGAAGCACGUGGAGUUGUAGGAGAAUAAAUUUCCACAUUCUUAUGCUUAUGCUGACAGUCUCAAGGAAUGUAGCCUUGUCAUGCCAGGUAAUAUAUGACUAGUGAAGACACAUGGCAUGUUUGCACGGAGACCUCCUUCAUUUUCACACUCUUUUCUUGUGCAUCUCACACAUGACACUCAAAUAAUAUUGGAAAUGAUGAGUCGGUGGGUGCUUAAUUCAGGAGUCAAAAGCAAGUCCAAAUUGUCAAUGUUUGAGCAGAGGAGAAUCUAAUUAAAACUGAAAAUGGAACGAGAAGAAAGAGAGUGACUGAGAGAGGGAGGAAGUGAGUGAAUCUGUAUAAUUACAGCUUAAUGCAAACAACUCCACAUUGUCUUUAUUCCAAUGAGUUAAUGAGGUUACACACUAAAAAAAAAGAAAAAAAAACCCAAUUCCAACACCGCUAUUGUCUUCUACAGGCCACCAAGGAAAAUGAGCUGUCACUCGAUCUUAAUGGCAACAGGGUUUUCACUCGGGCCAGAAUUAAUAUCUGACUCUAAGGCCUAAUGAGCAAGAGCAGGGGGAGCAGCACAAACUCUUCGUCCUGCAAGUUUGGAGAAGAAAAGAAGAGAAAGCAAAAAAACAUAAAAAUAAGAAAUGAAUGGUGCAGAAUCUAAUGGCAGUAGCGAGGGAAUACAUCGCUGUGAUUGAAUUCUUCUCCUCAAGGGCAAUUUCAAUUCAAAUGUGCCUCAUCAGCAUGAGGAUCAGAGAAUUAACAGCAUUCUCCAGGUGAUU